rnacentral:lncRNA from 1 species
AUGGGUCCACACCUCUCUCCCUUCUGGCAGUUACCUGGGUGCCCCAGAAUUUGCAGACUGACUUCUUUGAGGUGUUCCUAUAGACUGAGCCAAUUUGCUUCCUCUAUCUACCCUCCAUCCCAAGCAGAUCCCUGGAUCUACCGGAAUUCAAAUGGAUUUAAGAUGCAGAAGACACAGCUGGAGAAAAAAGAGGAAAAGAAGGACGCAUUCUUUGCAAUCCUCUUCGACGCCAGGGCAGCAGGGACCAUUUCCUCACUGACUGGGAUACACAGCAUCUGGAACUCAUUCACUGCAGGUUGGAGUGUGAAACAACAGUAUUGAAAACAUGUUGGUGGGUCAUAAUCAGGUCAGACCUCUACCUCUCCUGUGUCCUGGCUCUUCUGCUCCUAGAUAUUUACCCAAGAGAGACGGGAGCAUAUGCACACGUGCAUAACAGCGUCACUCAUCACAGCCCUGCACUGGAAGCACACCGCUGUUUCCAAGUCGGAGAAAGGAAAAAUGAAUGGUGAUAUACCUACAGCGUACUAGCCCUCUGCAAUAAAAAGGGACUGAGGAUACAGGCAAGGUCAUCAACGAACCUCACGGUUGAGCCCAUGAGCCAGACACAGCUGAGCACAGGCUGGGAGCAUUUUGAUGACAUAAAAUCCAACAACCAAGCAGAAAAGUGGUUACUCGUGUGGGAGCCAACUAUGAGAGACCUGCAGGAGCCAUCUGGGUGCUGAGGAUGUCUGGAGCUCUGUCCGGAUGGUGAUGACACAGCUGUUUACAACCUGAAUCUCGUCCAGCAGCCUAGCUCUGGAAAUGUUAAGUGGUAAGGCUGUGAUGGGAAAUGCAGGGCUGUGCCUGAUCCUAAGGGCCUAGCAUUAAGCAUCUCUUUGCUCAAGCAUCCUUUUCAAAGACACGUCUUGAAUUAACAUCUCCAGCUGGAGACAGCUUCAAUGCAAGGCGCCAGGCCAGCCUAGCCCAUGAAGUUCUGGUUUCUAGAAAACCUUGGAGAACCUAGAUAAUCAUGGGAGAGAACUCAAAUGUCUCUUCCCGCCCCCUGGCUCCUGCCUAAGCACCCCACCCUUCCAUUCAGCUCAGUUCAGUUCAGUCACUCAGUCCGACUUUCUGCAACCCCACAGACUACAGCUGGGCAGGCUUCCCUGUCCAUCACCAACUCCCGGAGCUUGCUCAAACUCUUGUC